rnacentral:rRNA from 1 species
AUGUAAAUUCGUUUCGCAGAAAUUUAGAGAUUUUCGAUCUCCUCGAAAGAAAAUGAGUUCGAUCAGCAACACCGGUCUCUGCAGCACUAGGAUAAAGACCUUCUUUUUACCCACGAUCUCGACGAAUUACUUCUGAAUAAAUUCAGAAAUCACAUGGAAGAACCAUAG